rnacentral:rRNA from 1 species
GCGGGUUCUCCCGCCAGAGGAUACAUCAAAACUCCUGUUUUAACGGUGUUGUCUGAGCUACAAGCAACGAAUCAAAACUUUCAACAACGGAUCUCUUGGUUCUGGCAUCGAUGAAGAACGCAGCGAAAUGCGAUAAGUAGUGUGAAUUGCAGAAUUCAGUGAAUCAUCGAAUCUUUGAACGCACAUUGCGCCCCUUGGUAUCCCGAGGGGCAUGCCUGUUCGAGCGUCAUUUCACCACUCAAGCCUGGCUUGGUGUUGGGCGACGUCCCCUUUAGGGACGCGCCUUGAAACGCUCGGCGGCGUGGCACCGGCUUUAAGCGUAGCAGAAUCUUUCGCUUUGAAAGUCGGGGCCCCGUCUGCCGGAAGACCUACUCGCAAGGUUGACCUCGGAUCAGGCAGGGAUACCCGCUGAACUUAAGCAUAUCAAUAAGCUUGCUGGCUCUUAGGGGUAGUGCUCGCCUAACGUAUCUUUUUUACCUGCACUGCUUCUGUAGACCUGGAUAGCUCUCGAGGAAACUCGGUUUGAGGACUGCUGUGCGCAAGCCGGCUUUCCUUGUAAUUCCGGUCUAUGUUUUUAUAUAUACCCCUACCAGUAUGUCUCAGAAUGUUUGUUGUUGGGCUUGAAUGCCUUUAAACUUAAUACAACUUUCAACAACGGAUCUCUUGGCUCUCGCAUCNAUGAACAACGCACCGAAAUGCGAUAAGUAAUGUGAAUUGCAGAAUUCAUUGAAUCAUCGAAUCUUUGAACGCACCUUGGGCUCCUUGGUAUUCCGAGGAGCAUGCCUGUUUGAGUGUCAUGAAAUUCUCAACCUUUUCAACUUUUUCUGUUGAUCAGGCUUGGAUGUGGGAGUAUGCGGGCUUCUCAGAAGUCCGCUCUCCUGAAAUGCAUUAGCGGGGACUUUUUUUGCCGGGUUUUGUGGUGAUAAUAUUUACCCCCAUGGGGAAAACAACUUUAAUAAAGGAGGUCAACUUCCUAUCC